rnacentral:rRNA from 1 species
CCUACGGGUGGCAGCAGUGAGGAAUAUUGGUCAAUGGGAGGGAUCCUGAACCAGCCAAGCAGCGUGAAGGACGACGGCCCUACGGGUUGUAAACUGCUUUUGUAACGGAGUAAAAUGCGCUACGAGUAGCUUUUUGAAAGUACGGUACGAAUAAGGAUCGGCUAACUCCGUGCCAGCAGCCGCGGUAAUACGGAGGAUCCGAGCGUUAUCCGGAUUCAUUGGGUUUAAAGGGUGCGUAGGUGGUUUGUUAAGUUAGUGGUGAAAUACUGAGGCUCAACCUGGGGGCUGCCGCUGAUACUGGCAGACUAGAGAUCAGAUGCAGUAGGCGGAAUGCGUAGUGUAGCGGUGAAAUGCAUAGAUAUCACGCAGAACACCGAUUGCGAAGGCAGCUUGCUAGGCCGCAUCUGACACUGAUGCACGAAAGCGUGGGGAUCGAACAGGAUUAGAUACCCCUGUAGUC